rnacentral:rRNA from 1 species
UACGAAGGGGGCUAGCGUUGCUCGGAUUGACUGGGCGUAAAGGGCGCGUAGGCGGCGGACUCAGUCAGACGUGAAAUUCCUGGGCUCAACCUGGGGGCUGCGUUUGAUACAUGACUGCUUGAGUUCGGAAGAGGGUCGUGGAAUUCCCAGUGUAGAGGUGAAAUUCGUAGAUAUUGGGAAGAACACCGGUGGCGAAGGCGGCGACCUGGUCCGAUACUGACGCUGAGGCGCGAAAGCGUGGGGAGCAAACAGG